rnacentral:tRNA from 1 species
GGGCCAUUAGCUCACUUGGUAGAGCGCUUCCAUGGCAUGGAAGAGGCAAUCGGUUCGAUUCCGAUAUGGUCCA